GACGAACGCUGGCGGCGUGCUUAACACAUGCAAGUCGAACGGAAAGGCCCUGCUUUUGUGGGGUGCUCGAGUGGCGAACGGGUGAGUAACACGUGAGUAACCUGCCCUUGACUUUGGGAUAACUUCAGGAAACUGGGUCUAAUACCGGAUAGGAGCUCCUGCUGCAUGGUGGGGGUUGGAAAGUUUCGGCGGUUGGGGAUGGACUCGCGGCUUAUCAGCUUGUUGGUGGGGUAGUGGCUUACCAAGGCUUUGACGGGUAGCCGGCCUGAGAGGGUGACAGGCCACAUUGGGACUGAGAUGCGGCCCAGACUCCUACGGGAGGCAGCAGUGGGGAAUAUUGCACAAUGGGCGGAAGCAUGAUGCAGCAAAGCCGCGUGCGGGAUGACGGCCUUCGGGUUGUAAACCGCUUUCGCCUGUGACGAAGAGUGAGUGACGGUAAUGGGUAAAGAAGCACCGGCUAAAUACGUG
rnacentral:rRNA from 1 species